rnacentral:rRNA from 1 species
UACAGAGGUGGCAAGCGCUGUUCGGAAUCACUGGGCUUAAAGCGCGUGUAGGCGGAGUGAAAGGUGCUUUGUGAAAUCCCUCGGCUCAACCGAGGAAUUGCUUGGCAAACCGGCACUCUUGAGACAGGUAGAGGUCACUGGAACCUUUGGUGGAGCGGUGAAAUGCGUAGAGAUCAAAGGGAACGCCGGUGGCGAAAGCGAGUGACUGGGCCUGUUCUGACGCUGAGACGCGAAAGCGUGGGUAGCAAACAGG